rnacentral:rRNA from 1 species
UAAUACGAAGGGUGCAAGCGUUACUCGGAAUUACUGGGCGUAAAGCGUGCGUAGGCGGUUUGUUAAGUCUGUCGUGAAAGCCCCGGGCUCAACCUGGGAAUGGCGAUGGAUACUGGCAAGCUAGAGUGUGUCAGAGGAUGGUGGAAUUCCCGGUGUAGCGGUGAAAUGCGUAGAGAUCGGGAGGAACACCAGUGGCGAAGGCGGCCAUCUGGGACAACACUGACGCUGAGGCACGAAAGCGUGGGGAGCAAACAGGAUUAGAUACCCUGGUAGUCCACGCCCUAAACGAUGCGAACUGGACGUUGGGCACACUUAGGUGCUCAGUGUCGAAGCUAACGCGUUAAGUUCGCCGCCUGGGGAGUACGGUCGCAAGACUG